rnacentral:rRNA from 1 species
AGAGUUUGAUCAUGGCUCAGAAUCAACGCUGGCGGCGUGCCUCAGACAUGCAAGUCGAACGAUUAAAGCCCUCUUCGGAGGGUGCAUAAAGUGGCGCACGGGUGAGUAACACGUAAGUAAUCUACCUUCGAGUGGGGAAUAACGUUCGGAAACGAACGCUAAUACCGCAUAAUGCAGCGGCAUCGCAAGAUGACAGUUGUUAAAGAUUUAUCGCUUGAAGAGGAGCUUGCGGCAGAUUAGCUAGUUGGUAAGGUAACGGCUUACCAAGGCGACGAUCUGUAUCCGGUCUAAGAGGACGGUCGGACACACUGACACUGAAUAACGGGUCAGACUCCUACGGGAGGCAGCAGUCGGGAAUUUUGGGCAAUGGGCGAAAGCCUGACCCAGCAACGCCGCGUGAAGGAUGAAGUAUUUCGGUAUGUAAACUUCGUAAGAAUGGGAAGAAUAAAUGACGGUACCAUUUGUAAGCUCCGGCUAACUACGUGCCAGCAGCCGCGGUAAUACGUAGGGAGCAAGCGUUGUUCGGAUUUACUGGGCGUAAAGGGCGCGUAGGCGGCAAUUCAAGUCAGCUGUGAAAUCUCCGGGCUUAACUCGGAACGGUCAGCUGAUACUGCUUUGCUAGAGUGCAGAAGGGGCAAUCGGAAUUCUUGGUGUAGCGGUGAAAUGCGUAGAUAUCAAGAGGAACACCUGAGGUGAAGAC